rnacentral:lncRNA from 10 species
CUGGGUAGGAACGCUGCUGCUGGUUGGCUGGUAGGAGGUGCUGCAGAGAGACCCCUACCUGACUGUCAUCCUCUCUCAGUGGCGAGUCCAUCUAGUUCAGACUCAGACAGGUGGAAGAAGUCAACUCCUAACUAGGGUAUAAUGAAGCAUGAUGGAAGUAUUUGACCCAGCGGCUCUUCUAUACCCAGGAGGCCCUGACUGCCACAUUCACCAGUUGAUUUUCCAGGGAACAUAAUCAGAGGCAGAAUCGUCUGGUGGUUAAAAGUACAAUCUGGAGUUAGACUGCUUGAUUUUCAAUCCCAGCUCUUCCACUCAUCAGCUUUGUUAUCUUAGCCAUUUUCUCAGGGCCAGGUAACUAGAUUGAAGCAGAGUCCAUGAAGAACUAACCAUGCCUCAC